rnacentral:lncRNA from 10 species
GCUGCCAGAAAAAUAAAGGAUGCCAAGUUAAAUCUGAAUUUCAGAUAAACAAAUCAUCUUGUAGUGUAAGGAUGUUCCACUGUUUAUCUGAGCAUCUUGUAUUUUUUAUUUGCUAAGUCUGACAACUCUCUACCUCUGCUGGCCCAAUACAAGAGGUGGAAAGAAGUCCACGCUGGAGUGAAAUUACAGAGCUCCAAAAAGCGAAGCAGCAGAACCAACAAUCACACGGACUCGCUGUGUCCGGACUCUAUUUUAAGAGGCUUGCCGCUGUGAACGCAUGGAUCCCCACAGCAAUCUACGCGCACUCAGCACCUGUGCUUCCAGACAAAGGGGGCUCUGCCCCGGCCUGCGUGGUAGACAACCCAUUUCUCUCCAGCGCUGAAAGCCAGAGACUAUGCUUCUCAGUCUCAUGGGAAACUUUUGUUUCAUUCCCUUUUAAUUUUGGAAACUGGCCAAACAAGGAGGAAUUCUGGGAAAGACAGAGUACUACAGAAACAGCAGUCACAGAUCUCAUCAUUUCACCCACCAGCAGCAGAAAACUGAAUUCUCUUGUAUGAGUUCUACUGCAGUAAUGUUCCCCUCCUGUCUCUGCCACGCCCCCACUUGGGGAACCUUCAGCCAACAGAACCUCUUAGAUUCAAAAUCUCUACACGAACAUUGCUUCUGCAUCACAAUUGCUCAAACUUGAAUGCCAAAGUAGCAUCGUUGUGAAGCGCUUUAUUUAGACGACAGGCUGCCCUUUGUUCAAAUGUACCUCUUUCAUUCCUGGAAUUUAUUAUGGGUAUUACGUGCUCUUUGCCAAUGCUCUAACACCCAGAAGUAUAAGCAACAGAAACCAAAGGCCUCUGGGAGGCCUCCUCACCAGAGAUCAACUGGUAACAUUUGGGAUACAGAUUUCUAAAUGCAUACAUAAGCAUAAAUAUACAUACACAUAUAUAGGCAUUUUCACACUCAGUAACAUAUCCCAGAUACCGUUCCAGGUCUACGGGGCUUCCAUCAAAUCAGACACUCCAUGUCAAUUCAACAGUGUUUUCAAGAGUACCCUUUAAAUUUAGAUUGUGAUAUUCUCCAAAGAGAGUUUAAAGCCAAAGCAAGUAACCACAAGAACAACCUUUCUUCAUAAAUUCUUACAAAAAUAACUCUUAAACAAAAAAGAAAAAACCCUUUGAGACACAGUGUUGUGUUUCACUCUUUUGCUUUAAAAUCCUGAAGAUAUAUGUUUAACUCACGAUAAAAUGAAAGAUGAGAGAAAUGGAGACAUUAAAAUAAUUUACUCAUGCGCUUAAAUCAUAAUUUUUAUGUUUAAAAUGUCUCCAAGAAUACCUUCUGUCACUCUAUCCAUCAAGAUACUAUAUAUUCUUGAUUUCACAGUAAACCAGCCUUGCUUAUGGGUGAGUGGGGGCUGGUAUUUUAGCACUUUUACUUUCAUUUUCCUAAAGGAUCUUGGCCUGAAGGAAAUGUUCUAUUCCAAAUAAUAAACUACUUCCCCCAACUCAAGGUAAAUGUGAACCCAGGAGUUUAUCCAGCUUUAGGAGGGAGGGCAGACUGGCAUAGGCUGGCACUUAGUAUCACACCAGGGUGGGAAAGAGGAUGGCACGUUCAACAACAAAACGAGGACUGGUCAGAACAGAGAAGGUUAACCAACUUUCUAAGAGAUCCUCAGUCAAACUCAUUAUAAAUAAAUUCCUAUUUUAGGUAAAAAGCUUAAAACACAUGCAAGAACACAGAC